UACGUAGGCAGCAAGCGUUGUUCGGAGUUACUGGGCGUAAAGGGUGUGUAGGCGGUUAUUUAAGUUUGGUGUGAAAUCUCCCGGCUCAACCGGGAGGGUGCGCCGAAUACUGAAUGACUUGGAGUGCGGGAGAGGAAAGUGGAAUUCCUGGUGUAGCGGUGAAAUGCGUAGAUAUCAGGAGGAACACCGGUGGUGUGGACGGCUUUCUGGACCGCAACUGACGCUGAGACACGAAAGCGUGGGUAGCAAACAGG
rnacentral:rRNA from 1 species